AUUGAACGCUGGCGGAAUGCUUUACACAUGCAAGUCGAACGGUAGAGGGGGCAACCCCUCGAGAGUGGCGAACGGGUGAGUAAUAUAUCGGAACGUACCCAGUCGUGGGGGAUAACGUAGCGAAAGUUACGCUAAUACCGCAUACGAUCUAAGGAUGAAAGCGGGGGAUCGCAAGACCUCGCGCGAUUGGAGCGGCCGAUAUCAGAUUAGGUAGUUGGUGGGGUAAAGGCUCACCAAGCCAACGAUCUGUAGCUGGUCUGAGAGGACGACCAGCCACACUGGAACUGAGACACGGUCCAGACUCCUACGGGAGGCAGCAGUGGGGAAUUUUGGACAAUGGACGCAAGUCUGAUCCAGCCAUUCCGCGUGCAGGAUGAAGGCCCUCGGGUUGUAAACUGCUUUGUACGGAACGAAAAGGUCUCUCUUAAUACGGGGGACUCAUGACGGUACCGUAAGAAUAAGCACCGGCUAACUACGUGCCAGCCGCCGCGGUAA
rnacentral:rRNA from 1 species